rnacentral:rRNA from 1 species
UACAGAGGUCUCAAGCGUUGUUCGGAUUCAUUGGGCGUAAAGCGCACGUAGGCGGAUUGCUAAGUCAGGGGUGAAAUCCUGGAGCUCAACUCCAGAACUGCCUUUGAUACUGGCGACCUUGAGUCCGGGAGAGGUGAGUGGAACUGCGAGUGUAGAGGUGAAAUUCGUAGAUAUUCGCAAGAACACCAGUGGCGAAGGCGGCUCACUGGCCCGGUACUGACGCUGAGGUGCGAAAGCGUGGGGAGCGAACGGG